GCCAGCUACGGAGUGUGUCUGAAUGGCUGCAUCUUAAUUCCUACACAAUACCAGAAUGGUUCAUAGGACUUUUCUGCAGCUGUGAUCCACAAGAGGAAGUCCUUUGAAGAGGUGAAGAAGAGACUAAGGGAUCUGGAUAUUCAAUAUUCCAUCAGACCGACAAAGAUGAUGAACUAUCGAGCCGUAUUCAAAACAGGUGGUGUGUACACUGUCUUGUAAAUUGACUUCAAGAACAGGUCAGAGGCUGGGAAUCCUGCAAUGCCUAACUUACCUUGUGACUCCCAAAAGCCUGUCCACUAUCCACAAGGCACAUGUCAGGAGUGUGAUUGAAUACUUCCACUUUUCUGGGUGAGUACAGUGCUAACGACACUCAAGAAGCUUGACAUCUUCCAGGACAAAGCAGCCUGCUCAAUUGGCUCCACAUCUGCAAACAUUCACUCCUAUACCACCAACACUUAGUAGUAGCAGUGUGUGCCAUCUACAAGAUGCUGUGCAAGAAUUUGCCAAGGCUGCUUAUACAGCACCUUCUAAAUUUGCAACCAAUUCCAUCUCAAAAGACAAAGGCAGCAAAU